GGAGGCAGCAGUGGGGAAUAUUGCACAAUGGGCGCAAGCCUGAUGCAGCAACGCCGUGUGAGUGAAGAAGGUUUUCGGAUCGUAAAACUCUGUCCUAAGGGAAGAAACAAAUGACGGUACCCUUAGGAGGAAGCCCCGGCUAACUACGUGCCAGCAGCCGCGGUAAUACGUAGGGGGCAAGCGUUAUCCGGAAUCACUGGGCGUAAAGGGUGCGUAGGCGGCUUAGCAAGCCAGGGGUGAAAGGCAUUGGCUCAACCAAUGUAAGCCUUUGGAACUGUUAAGCUUGAGUGCAGGAGAGGUAAGUGGAAUUCCUAGUGUAGAGGUGAAAUUCGUAGAUAUUAGGAGGAACACCAGUGGCGAAGGCGACUUACUGGACUGUAACUGACGCUGAUGCACGAAAGCGUGGGUAGCGAACAGGAUUAGAUACCCUGGUAG
rnacentral:rRNA from 1 species